rnacentral:misc_RNA from 1 species
AGACGUGUCAAUGCUGUAAAAAAACUAAUGCAAUUACUGUCGCCUCCACUUGUAAAUGUGGAGAAGCUGUAAAACGAAAUAUUUAUAAUGGAGAACUUUUAGCAUCAUUCAAGAUGGAAUGGGGUAUAUUAUUAUUUCUUCCAUAGAAACAAGAGAACAAACAUAUAAUAGUUGGCAAAGUACAAGGUAACAACAUGAGGAAGAG